UCGCGCCAUAAAGCCAGAGGUGCCGUAAAAAGCUCAAAAGGGAAUUCCGUGUGAAUCGGAAGCUGUCCCGCAGCGGUAUGUGGAACGAAACCCGCAAGACACUGAUCAUUGAGAUUGGGAAGUUGGGGAGUAGGUGGAAAAAAUGAGUAAAGCUUUAAAAGUUUUGAAGUGUGAGACGGCCGAGCCGCCCACGAAUUGCAGGCGCUAUCGCUACUGCAAUGGUGACGGUAAAGCUGUUGUCAUAAAGUUUUGAAGUGUGAGACGGCCGAGCCGCCCACGUAUUGCAGGCGCUAUCGCUACUGCAAUGGUGACGGUAAAGCUGUUGUCAUAAAGUUUUGAAGUGUGAGACGGCCGAGCCGCCCACGUAUUGCAGGCGCUAUCGCUACUGCAAUUCGUGACGGUAAAGCGGCCGUCAAAAUGCUUUGCAUUUUGUCCGCGCCGCAAGCCCGAAGACCUGCCUCUGGUAGAAUAUUAAU
rnacentral:ncRNA from 1 species